UACGGGGGGAGCAAGCGUUGUUCGGAUUUACUGGGCGUAAAGGGCGCGUAGGCGGCGCCGCAAGUCGACUGUGAAAUCUCCGGGCUUAACCCGGAAAGGUCAGCCGAUACUGCGGGGCUAGAGUACAGAAGGGGCAACUGGAAUUCUUGGUGUAGCGGUGAAAUGCGUAGAUAUCGAGAGGAACACCUGCGGCGAAGGCGGGUUGCUGGGCUGAUACUGACGCUGAGGCGCGAAGCCAGGGGAGCGAACGGG
rnacentral:rRNA from 1 species